AAUUUUAAACAAUCUACUAGAUAACCAAGUGCAGAGAGGGUGAUACCUCGCUUGGAUUGUGUGCAUAAAUCCCGUUACGCUUGUUGUGAGAUAUUGCAGGAAGAUAAGUAACUCUCUUUUCGGGCAAUCGGAAGAGGUCAUGAAGUGAAAGAAGAUUGAGGGUGUACGCAGUAUGGAGAUUGUGCGUAGUUAGACCAUUAUCAGACGGCGGCGGUGACAAUAGACGCUCUCAGUGAGAGAAUAAUCUGGCAAGGCCUUAUGUAGCAGUAAGAACCAAACCAGAAAUGCUAAAAUAAACCGUUUUGCACUUGAGGUCGAGCAAUCGGCCAAUAACACUAAAGAUAAGUACAAGUAGCCCAAAUCGUGCAUAAAAUUACAAGAGAUAUUGUGCUAAAAUAUUAUUCUGAAUAUCGGGUGAAAGUUGGACGUAACCAAUCGUGCCUAGUCGUUAAAUCGCUACGGAAGUUAUAGGGUCGCUCCUUAUGGCUCAGACCGUGGUAGGCUAUCGGUCAAUAAAUUGCGUACAAUCGAAGUAGAGCGAAGGCUCAUUUGAUAGAUUGUUUAAAG
rnacentral:ncRNA from 1 species